rnacentral:tRNA from 1 species
GGAGAGGUGUCCGAGCGGUCGAAGGAGCACGCCUGGAAAGUGUGUAUACGUUCAUAGCGUAUCGAGGGUUCGAAUCCCUCCCUCUCCGCCA